rnacentral:rRNA from 1 species
UACGUAGGGGGCAAGCGUUGUCCGGAAUCAUUGGGCGUAAAGCGCGUGUAGGCGGCCUUGUAAGUCCGUUCUGAAAGCCCGGGGCUCAACCCCGGGAGGCGGAUGGAUACUGCAAGGCUCGAGUCCGGAAGAGGCGAGUGGAAUUCCCGGUGUAGCGGUGAAAUGCGCAGAUAUCGGGAGGAACACCGGUGGCGAAGGCGGUUCUCUGGGCAUUACCUGACGCUGAGGAGCGAAAGUGUGGGGAGCGAACAGG